GGCGGAGGCAGAGACGCUAGUGCUCAACCUACCGCCAGGAGAACAAGCAGGGUAAUAAACCCUUUCACCCCAAAGAAUGUUUUGCUGUCAAUUUCUUUUGUCACAUUGAAUUCAUAGCGAACUUGCCCAGGGCUGAAACCCAUUGGCAAGACACUUAGUUAAUUCACAAAUGUCCAUAUUUUAAACUGCCAGUAAAAAGCCCUUGUCUUUCUAGGAAUGUUUCGUCUCAAACUAAAGUUAUCCCGCCUGUGCAGGGGCUGCAUGAGGCUGAGCAGAGCGGUGUUUGUUCCACUUCUGGGAUGUGGCUGAACUAUAUAGUUGAUCAGUUUUAUGAAAGUGUGUUCAGCAAAUGCUAAUGGAGUUGCUAUAAUGAGCCAUGUACUCUACUCUUUGAGCUGUAGGGAUUCAGCAAUUAGCAAAACAGGGUCCCUUCCCUCUUGGCCUUAAAGUAAUCCUGAACGACGGUGCUCUUUGCCGGAAAAGAAUCAGAAAUUCCCUGAAUGUUCUGAGGACCUUAAAGAAUAAUUUAGGAAAAGAACCUUUUUUAUUUUAUUUUUCAUGUGUUGUAGUGACAUGCUUUUCCAUACUACACCCAGCUUGACAUUAGCAAACCUGAAAAGAAGACAAUCUCAGAAAGAUACUUUUUGUUAUAUUUAGCAUUUAUUUAUGCUACAGAUCGUUAGGUGUAACCCUCAUACACUACUUCCCCUGACAUUUUUCACAAAAGGAGCCCCUUUGGCAAAAUGCACGGUGCCUGGAGGGAUGUCUCUGGCCUGGAAUCCCCCUGCCCUGCACUGGGUCAGCCCUCGGGCUGGCCCCUCUGUAUGCAAAGUUCUUCCCUGCAUGUCUUCUGCUGGGCAAGUUAUACCUUCCUGGCCAUUUGCAGAGUCAGCCCUUUGGUGCGUGCUUUUUCUUCCAUCUGUGGCCUAUCCUUUAAGACUGAGGAUGUUACAGCCAUGCGAAGACCAACCCCUCCUUGAAAUCCCUGCUCAGACAUGCAUUAUUUCAGGAUUCCCUCUCCAGGAAUCCGUCUCUGAGGUGGAGCUCACCUCCCCUCUGUCCCACGGCUCACUGUUUAGAACUUCCCAUAGGCUGUCUUGAAUUAGGGCUCUUUGUGUAUAUGUCUGCUUCUUCCCCUAAAGCAUGAGAUUCUGGUGGACUACAGCUGUAUUUUAAUCAUUUUUAUAUUUCCCAGAGUGCCUAGCACAGUGAGUUACACAGAGUAGUCACUUAAUAAAUGCUCACUGAGUUGAAAAGUAUAAAAUAAUGUACUGUCAGUGUGAUCCUUUAUAACUGACUUGAAAAGAUGGAGAAGGGAAAAUACUGGGUCAAGUUGAAGCAUACUUAUUUGUGCAAUAUACUGUAUUUAGACAUGAAGAUUGUUCAAUAUAUUUGUUCCAAGUUUCUUAUGGAAUAUUCCUUCAAUCCACAGGUAUACUGUAUAUUGGAAUGCUGGAGUGAAUUACACAUGAGGCACCCUGUCUACAGCGUGUGGAAUUUACAGAAUUGCCUGGACUUUGCAGGACCACCAAAAUGACGGGAGUAAAACCCAUCACACUUUUUUCGAAAGCCGCGGGAGAGGAAUGACAUACCAAAAGCUACAAGAAGCCGGAUGAGAAAGUAACAUACUUCCGGCAGCGUGUUAUCAAUGGGGAGGCAACAGUGCAUUCAGUCUUUCCGUCCCAGUGGAACAGUGAGCUGGAACCAACACUGACAGAUGACACGGCCCUUCCACAGUGAUGCCUGUGUGAGCUGACAGCUCCACUGGCAGUCAGUCAAGUUCAUGCUUUGUGGUGGAAUUUUAACAGGCUUGAUUUGCAGAAUAUGCUCUGCCUACUUCUCAGCUUGUAGGAGCAAUGAAUAAAAAUUUCAAAGCAUUCACAUUAAAUUGUAGAUUCUAGGGUCUGUUACCCAACUUUCAUUUCCCCUCAAAGUUAAGAGUAAUAACAGUAAAUAAAAUUUUAAAGAAAAAAAAACUAGGAUAUCUAGGAAAGGAAUGAUUCUUCCCUUAAAAUGAGAUUUUCUAUAAAUCAAAGCAGGUCACAUAUUAGUCAAAAUUUCUCAAGAAGACAAUACGCCAAAUUUCUGAAGGAAAGGUUCUAGUCUAUAUAAACACAAGAAAUUAUUAAGAUAAUGAUACUUAACAAGGAGCUUCCCACAUCAUUGAUGCCGGGGUUCUUGUUUGCAGAGCCGAAGAAUGAGCUUCACAGUCAAGUCACAUUUCAACUCUCUAAGGGUUUGGUAAGUGUGAGGAAGUCCCAGAAUGGCAGGAGAGAUGCUACAGGGAAGGAGAACGGACCCUGAGCAUCUUUCAGGAAUCAGCUCCUGCAACCCGGGCAUCAGCAGCCCCUCCCAAGCGGAGCUGGAACAAGUAGCAUGCAGUUAAAAGAAAACAAACCUUCUCCCAUCCUCAUUGGAUUUCUGUUCUUUUGUAUCUCUGUGCGUCUAGUACAAAGGAAGUCAGUAAAUACUCACGGAUUAACUGUUAUAAGCUUACAAAGAAUCCGCCUCCCAUUGUAUCAGCCCUCGAUCCAUACCACCCAUGGGAUGUGAAUUACCCUGUGAAGUUGAUUCGAUUAAUAUGCCUCCUCAUUGAAUCCUAUGAAAACUGCCUGCAUGUUAUGUUCUCCCCACUUCAUGUCUCCUCUUUUGCCAGCCGUGCAUCUAAGUCGCCUCUCACCUGUCCCACCCUCCUUUCCUGCUCUCUAAAGCCUUCAGGUGUGUGGUGUUGGUCACGUGCUGUGGGAUAUAAAUAACUGAGAAACAUUCAUGUCUGUGGUGGCAGAGAAGUUGCAGCCACCUCUUUUCCUGGAAACCUGCCUCUGGUGUGACAGUAUACUACAGCAGUUUGAAAAAUUUUCACAAAACAUUUCUGAGUGAAGCAGGGAGAGGAGAUGGGGAAGCUAAGAGAC